AUUGAACGCUGGCGGCAGGCCUAACACAUGCAAGUCGAGCGGAGCGGCGGACGGGUGAGUAAUGCCUAGGAAUCUGCCUGGUCGUGGGGGAUAACGUCCGGAAACGGGCGCUAAUACCGCAUACUUCUAGCUGGCCCUUGGUGGGAUUAGCUAGUGGGUGGGGUAAGGGCCUACCAAGGCGACGUACCGUAACUGGUCUGAGAGGAUGACCAGUCACACUGGAACUGAGACACGGUCCAGACUCCUACGGGAGGCAGCAGUGGGGAAUAUUGGACAAUGGGCGAAAGCCUGAUCCAGCCAUGCCGCGUGUGUGAAGAAGGUCUUCGGAUUGUAAAGCACUUUAAGUUGGGAGGCGUUACCAACAGAAUAAGCACCGGCUAACUUCGUGCCAGCCGCCGCGGUAAUUC
rnacentral:rRNA from 1 species